ensembl:lncRNA
GGUGUAGGAACAGGGUGUAGGGAAUAGGGUGUAGGGAACAGGGUGUAGGGAAUAGGGUGUAUGGAACAGGGUGUAGGGAAUAGGGUGUAGGGAACAGGGUGUAGGGAAUAGGGUGUAGGGAACAGGGUGUAGGGAAUAGGGUGUAGGGAACAGGGGCAAGGGAAUAGGGUGUAGGGAAUAGGGUGUAGGGAACAGGGCAUAGGGAAUAGGGCGUAGGGAACAGGGUGUAGGGAAUAGGGCGUAGGGAUAGGGGUGUAGGGAACAGGGUGUAGGGAAUAGGGUGUAGGGAACAGGGUGAAGGGAAUAGGGAGAAGCUUACAGUGUAGUGAGAAUGGCUGAGCUGCAGUGACGUUUUAAAACUACUCCGAGACUAUUUAUAGCCAGACAAUGCACACACAAGACACACACACCACACACACACAUACACACACACACACACACACACACACACACACACACACAGCCCUACCUGAGCUCCAGCUGGCUCGGGUGCAUGGCUCCUGCAGCAAUACUCCUGCAGUCUAAUCAGAUUUCAGUGGUUUCAC